rnacentral:rRNA from 1 species
AAAACCAGUAUGACUUAGGUAAUAAAUGCUGAGGGCGGAUAUGUAGGAAAGUUACUUUUAUUUUGUAUCUUAAAAUUUAGUUUGUUGAUCGGUAGAAUGAAAAUGCUGAAGAUUUCCAAAAGAUACUUUAGGUAAAUUGAAUACAAUAAGACUAAAGGAGAGACCGGGAUUAGAUACCCCGUUAUUUUUAGUUUUUAUAUUAUAGUAAAGGAUGCCUGGUGACUAUGAGCAAAAGGGCUUCAAAGUUAAAGAACUUGGCGGUAUUUUAGGUACUUAGGGGAACCUGUCUCUUAAUCUGAUGAUCCACGAUAUACAUUACCUAUUUUACCUGGUUUAUAUAUCGUUGUCAUAAGUUAAGAGUUCGUCCUUUUAGCGAAUAAAAAUAUUUUUGGUAUGUCAGAUCGAGAUAUAGCUAAUAUUUAGGGGAGGAUGGGUUACAUUUAAUAAUUAAUUAAAAUGGAUAACUUCUUUAAAUAGGAUUUUUGAAAGCGGACUUAAAAGUAAAUUGUUAUAGCGAGACAAUUUGAAUAUAAAGCUGAAAUGUGU